UCUGCAAUGAUGAAGGGGGAUGAUUGAAAAGAGCUGGACUAAAUUGGUCUAACUAGGACACUUGAAGGCUUGUGAAUCAGUUCACACGAUCAGUGUGAAAAGCGGGUAUGAAGACCCAGAUGCUGGUGUGUACGUGUGCAUAUAAGCCCCAACAGCUAGAAAUCAAGCCUUUCUGGCUUCCAAUUGUCGGAGAAGUGGAAACAGUUAAUGGAGUAUGCAAUGAGUUCUGGCGGUCAGAAGUCCGAAAUGGGUCUUACACGACUAAAAUCCAGAUGUCGACAGGGAGGAAGAACUGAGGAUCCUACAUCAUGUUAGGGAGCAGCAAGAGCACUGUAGUAAGACAUAACCCUCCUUUGCCUCUCUAUGUCCUCUGCCCCAUGCUGCUUAUGUCCUUAUUGAAGUUAAGAGUCUGGCUGUCAUUGAGAACCUCUGAUACUGCACCAUUUGAUGAAGGGCUAUGAAAAAUUCCCCCGAGAACAGCAAUGCACACUGAUCCUACCAGCUCAUUCACUAGAACACACUUUCUAAAGCCAAUACUAAUGGCUGUAGGCAAAUAGAGCAGGACGGUCAAGAUACCUCUACCCAGUUCAUUCUACACAUAGACUGUCUGGUUCUCUGAGGUCACAGCAGUAUAAUCUUAAGGUGACCAUUAAGAUCUGAUUGAUACAUUUUCAGGAUUUAAAGUAAAAUUAAAAGAACGUGGAAGGCAGCUGUUUGUGGCACUGUAACAGAUAGCCAUGUUUACGAAAACAAAUUCAAGUUGAGCAAUGAUUUGGCAGAUUUUGUUUGCCAGGGAGGACCAUUGAGCCAAUGGGACCCACAAUUUUCCCACUUCAAGAGAUUUUUUUUUUUCUCAAUGACAUUAUAUAACUGAUUCAGAUCUCAUUUUUCCUUUACAUACCCAGACACAACCCUAGAGAUGCCGAGCCCGCAGAUAUUUCACUUUUUAUCAGAUAUUUGGCACAAAGAAACACUUCUGCAGUCUAUAGUUUAAACUAAACAACUGUCUGGGAAACCUUUGUGAUUGUAGGUGCUAAUUUCAACUGUCCUGUAGCUCAUUCCUCGGUAUUACCAUCUAUAAAAUGGAUGUAGCAAUAAUAAAUUAAGUCAUGAAAUUGUUUAUGGGGAAUAACCACUGAUGGGAUUAUGUGGCACUUUACACACAUAAAAUCCUAAGUAGUCCAAGCAAUCAAAAGUAACAUUUUCCAGUGACAUCUCCAUAAAAGCCACUUUCUUCUGAACAAAUACAAACUUUCCAGAGAUGUCUAAGCCACAGAACUGCACAGGCAGAUGUGAAAUGUAAGCCCUAUAGAGAAACAGAGAAACGAAACAAAAUCUGCAUUUGAACAUUGGAGUUUUAUCACAAUUGCAAUACAUCUAACAGUCUUCUUUGUUUUAGUUACUAUACUUUUUCUUACCAUCAUGAAGAAAAGAUAUCACAGAAAAUGAUGUUAAAGACAGGCCUAACAUACAUUUUCUGAGCUUUCUGGUGAAAGAUUAUGUUUUCAAAAAACUUCUCCAAGGGAAACUCUUUGAAGUGUUUUUACUGCCAUUUGAUCAGUUAAAAUUUUGUUAUUUGCAUUAUUUUGAAAUAUCUUUGUACUCUAAAGGCUGGUAAAAGAAUGCAUAAUUGUGGAAAACAAUUUAAUAAAUAAGAGAAAACUAACAACAACAAUAUAAAAUACUUAUGG
rnacentral:lncRNA from 1 species